rnacentral:rRNA from 1 species
CAGUCUGGCCUGCCCCCUGAAAUUUUAAAGGGCCGCGGUAUUUGGACCGUGCUAAGGUAGCAUAAUAAAUAGUCUUUUAAUUGGAGUCUAGUAUGAAUGGUCGGACAUGAAGUAAGCUGUUUUAAUUAUGGUAUUUGAAUUUUACUUUUAAGUGAAAAGGCUUAAAUUAAAUGGUGGGACGAUAAGACCCUAUAAAGCUUUACAUUUUACUUUUUGAUUGAAGGAGUUAAGGUUUCUUAUUUUUAGUGAGUAAAGUGUUUCGUUGGGGCGACGAGAAUAUAAAUAGUAACUGUUUUUAUUUAAAAAAUAUGUUUUUAUAGGUGAGCUGAUCCUUUAUAGAGAUUAUAAGAUUUAAGUUACUUUAGGGAUAACAGCGUAAUUUAUCUUGAGAGUUCAUAUCGACAGAUAUAGUUGCGACCUCGAUGUUGAAUUAAAAUGCCCCCUAGGUGUAGAAGUCUCGGCGGUAGGUCUGUUCGACCUUUAAAAUUUUACGUGAUCUGAGUU